GGCUGUUGGAGGGCUGCCGCAUGGGCAAAGUUUCCAUGCUGAAGUCCACACUUGACACAUGCAUUUGCCGUGGGACGACGCCAAAACAGUGGGUGAAUCUUCCUGUCUGUGAGUGAAGGAACACGGCCCUUCAAGGUACUAAGUACAUCUUCAGUCAUUCCUGUGCCAACCUCUGUCACACCUGGGGGGCUGUUCUGAACUGGAACUCAUGACUACAUAGAAAUAUCGAUCCAGGACUACAAAGGAAGGAAGGACUACCGAAGA